UUGGACGUAGAGUAUCUAAGCCAGUCACGUAACUGUAAUUAACGAUUUGUCCGUCGUGUGCCGUUCGCGCACUUGUGCAAAACCAUAGAAUCGAUUAGUGCCAUUAAAAUCAUUAGACGUGAAAAAGGACGAACACGCACCUACCUAACCAGCGUGGUGCCGUUUGCCAUCGGGUUGUAAUACCGUUUAGUAAAUGCGCGCCUGCGCAAGCUUGUACGUAUAUAUCAGUUUCUAAUCUGCGACAGAGUACGGAGGACGUGUUCCGCGCGAGAAUCUUAUGCAUGUAACGAAACAUGCACAUUACGUGCGCGUUCAUCGCGUCUUGCAUAAUUAUGUACGCACGCGGAACGUUGGAGUCCCCCUGAAAUCAUUGCGAGAUGUUCGUAUGCGAAUUACGCCAAGAUGAAGACAAAUGAAGAGAGAACAGUGUGACGACGUCGGGACGAAUGUGACGAGGGAAUUGAAGGCCAUCCCGAAGAAAGACCAUUAUAGAAGCUUCCAACGGUUGAAAGAACGUUCGCAAUGUUGCAUUGACAGCGGGAAGGAUUAUGUUGAACAUUGUAAUUAAUAAAAUGUAUUUCAUUGAUUUCUCAAUUUUGAAUGAAGUUAAUCUCGGAACUUUUUAGAUAGAUCGUAUAAGUAUAAUAUGUAGAACACGCAUUAUUAUUUCCGAGAUUUCUAAGUAUGUUAACACUAGAUUUACCAAGAGGGUCAAAAUGACUUGUCUGGUAUUUUGUUAUACUGAUUAGUCAUUUUUAUUACAUCGUAUUUUUUAUUUUUGUUAAGUACAACAAAAAGUAUAUACAAAUGCACGUUUUUUUAACUAAGUUGUUCUUUUCAAGACCAAGUCAUUUUGAUCUCUCCGAUAGAAAUAGGUAAGUACAUGUAAAUCGUCGGUAGUUCUAGUGUUAAAUAUUGCGUAAAGUAAAAGCUUUCUUAUAAAAUCAAUAAAAGUGUAAUGAUAAAUUUAUAAAUAUACUUUCAGAAUAGAUUAAAUAAACUAGGAAAACAA